GAUUUUUUCAAUAAAUGUCUAAGCGAGGAAACGUUUUCCGACCCAUCGGCCUGCUGGACAGGAUUGGAAAGGUCUGCGAGAAGGUGAUUGCGACGAAGCUCGACGAAGCAAUAGCGGCAGCAGGGGGAUUUUCUUCGAACCAGUACGGAUUCCGGAAAGAAUUGUUGACGCUGGACGCGAUCUCCACGGUCACCAACGCCGCCAGAGUCAUUCCAGAUUGAAGGAGUCGCUAAGGAUUUGGCCGACACUAAAGCGAUCGAAGCUGCUGCGACAUGCGCGGCGUCGAAGCGACCUACUAACUAACUAACUAACUGGUGCGGUCAGGACAGCCUGUGCUUUUCGCAGAAUAUCGGACAAUGCCGCUAUAGUCAGCGCUGGGCAGGUUCCCUUUGGAGAUCUAGUGCAGAAAGGCAAAGGGCGUCACCCGCGAAGGAGGCCAAAAAGGACGACAGGGUACGUAGGCUAGACAACAGGAAAACCGUAUGGGACAACUCUUCCAAGAACGAUGGACCCACAGGCUGGUCCCAAAAGUGGAGCCCUGAGUUAACAGAAGCACGGCCAGGUAGACUUUACCCAAGUGUUGAAGGGGCACGGCUGCUUUCGGGGAUACCUCAAGAGCCUCGGGAACGACACAGUCGACGGCUACCAGCAGUGCGUCGAAGGGAUGUAGAGGAUGCCUAUCGCGUCAUCUUUGAAUGUUAUCGUUUUCACCACGAGCGUCUAGCGCUGGAUGCGAUGGCAUUACAUCGCGAACCGGGCCGAAUAUUCUGCUAACCAAAAAAUGUAACGAUGCCAGGAAAAUUGUGAACGUCUGCAAAGGGUUAUGAUAUAUUUUUAGAAAUCAUGAGCACAAAAGAGUUAAAUAAAACAAUUAUUAGUGUGAAAUUAAAUUUUUGAAAAU
ensembl:ncRNA lncRNA:CR46122 long non-coding RNA:CR46122